rnacentral:rRNA from 1 species
UGGGGGAAUAUUGGGCAAUGGGCGAAAGCCUGACCCAGCGACGCCGCGUGAGGGAAGAAGGUCUUCGGAUUGUAAACCUCUGUUGACAGGGAAGAAGAAAGUGACGGUACCUGUCGAGGAAGUCACGGCUAACUACGUGCCAGCAGCCGCGGUAAUACGUAGGUGGCAAGCGUUAUCCGGAUUUACUGGGUGUAAAGGGUGUGUAGGCGGGACGACAAGUCAGAUGUGAAACUCAUGGGCUCAACCCAUGACCUGCAUUUGAAACUGCCGUUCUUGAGAGUCGGAGAGGUAAAUGGAAUUCCCGGUGCAGCGGUGAAAUGCGUAGAUAUUAGGAGGAACACCAGUGGGCGAAGGCGGUCAACUGGACGAUAACUGACGCUGAGGCGCG